GACGAAUGCUAGCGGCGUGCCUAAUACAUGCAAGUCGAACGCUCUUUCUUUCACCGGAGCUUGCUCCACCGAAAGAAAAAGAGUGGCGAACGGGUGAGUAACACGUGGGUAACCUGCCCAUCAGAAGGGGAUAACACUUGGAAACAGGUGCUAAUACCGUAUAACACUAUUUUCCGCAUGGAAGAAAGUUGAAAGGCGCUUUUGCGUCACUGAUGGAUGGACCCGCGGUGCAUUAGCUAGUUGGUGAGGUAACGGCUCACCAAGGCAACGAUGCAUAGCCGACCUGAGAGGGUGAUCGGCCACACUGGGACUGAGACACGGCCCAGACUCCUACGGGAGGCAGCAGUAGGGAAUCUUCGGCAAUGGACGAAAGUCUGACCGAGCAACGCCGCGUGAGUGAAGAAGGUUUUCGGAUCGUAAAACUCUGUUGUUAGAGAAGAACAAGGAUGAGAGUAGAACGUUCAUCCCUUGACGGUAUCUAACCAGAAAGCCACGGCUAACUACGUGCCAGCAGCCGCGGUAA
rnacentral:rRNA from 1 species